rnacentral:rRNA from 1 species
AACCAGCACCUCAAGUGGUCAGGAUGAUUAUUGGGCCUAAAGCAUCCGUAGCCGGCUUUGUAAGUUUUCGGUUAAAUCCAUGUGCUCAACGCAUGGGCUGCCGAAAAUACUGCAUAGCUAGGGAGUGGGAGAGGUAGACGGUACUCGGUAGGAAGGGGUAAAAUCCUUUGAUCUAUCGAUGACCACCUGUGGCGAAGGCGCCACACUAGAACGGAUCCGACGGUCAGGGACGAAGCCUAGGGGCACGAACCGG